rnacentral:rRNA from 1 species
GGGUUGUGAGGUUAAGCGACUAAGCGUACACGGUGGAUGCCCUGGCAGUCAGAGGCGAUGAAGGACGUGCUAAUCUGCGAUAAGCGUCGGUAAGGUGAUAUGAACCGUUAUAGCCGGCGAUUUCCGAAUGGGGAAACCCAGUGUGUUUCGACACACUAUCAUUACGUGAAUACAUAGCGUAAUGAAGCGAACCGGGGGAACUGAAACAUCUAAGUACCCCGAGGAAAAGAAAUCAACCGAGAUUCCCCCAGUAGCGGCGAGCGAACGGGGAGCAGCCCAGAACCUGAAUCAGUUUGUGUGUUAGUGGAAGCGUCUGGAAAGUCGCAGGGUACAGGGUGAUACUCCCGUACACUAAAAUGCACAGGCUGUGAGUUCGAAGAGUAGGGCGGGACACGUGGUAUCCUGUCUGAAUAUGGGGGGACCAUCCUCCAAGGCUAAAUACUCCUGACUGACCGAUAGUGAACCAGUACCGUGAGGGAAAGGCGAAAAGAACCCCGGCGAGGGGAGUGAAAAAGAACCUGAAACCGUGUACGUACAAGCAGUGGGAGCCUCUUUAUGGGGUGACUGCGUACCUUUUGUAUAAUGGGUCAGCGACUUAUAUUCUGUAGCAAGGUUAACCGUAUAGGGGAGCCGCAGGGAAACCGAGUCUUAACUGGGCGUUAAGUUGCAGGGUAUAGACCCGAAACCCGGUGAUCUAGCCAUGGGCAGGUUGAAGGUUGGGUAACACUAACUGGAGGACCGAACCGACUAAUGUUGAAAAAUUAGCGGAUGACUUGUGGCUGGGGGUGAAAGGCCAAUCAAACCGGGAGAUAGCUGGUUCUCCCCGAAAGCUAUUUAGGUAGCGCCUCGUGAACUCAUCUUCGGGGGUAGAGCACUGUUUCGGCUAGGGGGCCAUCCCGGCUUACCAACCCGAUGCAAACUACGAAUACCGAAGAAUGUUAUCACGGGAGACACACGGCGGGUGCUAACGUCCGUCGUGAAGAGGGAAACAACCCAGACCGCCAGCUAAGGUCCCAAAGUCAUGGUUAAGUGGGAAACGAUGUGGGAAGGCACAGACAGCCAGGAUGUUGGCUUAGAAGCAGCCAUCAUUUAAAGAAAGCGUAAUAGCUCACUGGUCGAGUCGGCCUGCGCGGAAGAUGUAACGGGGCUAAACCAUGCACCGAAGCUGCGGCAGCGACACUAUGUGUUGUUGGGUAGGGGAGCGUUCUGUAAGCCGUUGAAGGUGAACUGUGAGGUUUGCUGGAGGUAUCAGAAGUGCGAAUGCUGACAUAAGUAACGAUAAAGCGGGUGAAAAGCCCGCUCGCCGGAAGACCAAGGGUUCCUGUCCAACGUUAAUCGGGGCAGGGUGAGUCGACCCCUAAGGCGAGGCCGAAAGGCGUAGUCGAUGGGAAACAGGUUAAUAUUCCUGUACUCGGUGUUACUGCGAAGGGGGGACGGAGAAGGCUAUGUUAGCCGGGCGACGGUUGUCCCGGUUUAAGCAUGUAGGCGGAGAGUUUAGGUAAAUCCGGACUCUUAUUAACGCUGAGGUGUGAUGACGAGGCACUACGGUGCUGAAGUAACAAAUGCCCUGCUUCCAGGAAAAGCCUCUAAGCAUCAGGUAACAUUGAAUCGUACCCCAAACCGACACAGGUGGUCAGGUAGAGAAUACCAAGGCGCUUGAGAGAACUCGGGUGAAGGAACUAGGCAAAAUGGUGCCGUAACUUCGGGAGAAGGCACGCUGUCGUUAGGUGAAACCCCUCGCGGGUGGAGCUGAAGGCAGUCGAAGAUACCAGCUGGCUGCAACUGUUUAUUAAAAACACAGCACUGUGCAAACACGAAAGUGGACGUAUACGGUGUGACGCCUGCCCGGUGCCGGAAGGUUAAUUGAUGGGGUUAUCCGCAAGGAGAAGCUCUUGAUCGAAGCCCCGGUAAACGGCGGCCGUAACUAUAACGGUCCUAAGGUAGCGAAAUUCCUUGUCGGGUAAGUUCCGACCUGCACGAAUGGCGUAAUGAUGGCCAGGCUGUCUCCACCCGAGACUCAGUGAAAUUGAAAUCGCUGUGAAGAUGCAGUGUACCCGCGGCAAGACGGAAAGACCCCGUGAACCUUUACUAUAGCUUGACACUGAACAUUGAGCCUUGAUGUGUAGGAUAGGUGGGAGGCUUUGAAGCGUGGACGCCAGUCUGCGUGGAGCCAACCUUGAAAUACCACCCUUUAAUGUUUGAUGUUCUAACGUAGACCCGUGAUCCGGGUUGCGGACAGUGUCUGGUGGGUAGUUUGACUGGGGCGGUCUCCUCCUAAAGCGUAACGGAGGAGCACGAAGGUUAGCUAAUCACGGUCGGACAUCGUGAGGUUAGUGCAAAGGCAUAAGCUAGCUUGACUGCGAGAGUGACGGCUCGAGCAGGUGCGAAAGCAGGUCUUAGUGAUCCGGUGGUUCUGAAUGGAAGGGCCAUCGCUCAACGGAUAAAAGGUACUCCGGGGAUAACAGGCUGAUACCGCCCAAGAGUUCAUAUCGACGGCGGUGUUUGGCACCUCGAUGUCGGCUCAUCACAUCCUGGGGCUGAAGUAGGUCCCAAGGGUAUGGCUGUUCGCCAUUUAAAGUGGUACGCGAGCUGGGUUUAGAACGUCGUGAGACAGUUCGGUCCCUAUCUGCCGUGGGCGCUGGAGAAUUGAGGGGGGCUGCUCCUAGUACGAGAGGACCGGAGUGGACGCAUCACUGGUGUUCGGGUUGUCAUGCCAAUGGCAUUGCCCGGUAGCUAAAUGCGGAAGAGAUAAGCGCUGAAAGCAUCUAAGCGCGAAACUUGCCCCGAGAUGAGUUCUCCCUGACCCUUUAAGGGUCCUGAAGGAACGUUGAAGACUACGACGUUGAUAGGCUGGGUGUGUAAGCGUAGCGAUACGUUGAGCUAACCAGUACUAAUGAUCCGUGAGGCUUAACCUUACAACACCGAAGGUGUUUUAG